GACAGAGGAUGCAAGCGUUAUCCGGAAUGAUUGGGCGUAAAGCGUCUGUAGGUGGCUUUUUAAGUCUGCCGUCAAAUCCCAGGGCUUAACCCUGGACAGGCGGUGGAAACUACCAAGCUGGAGUACGGUAGGGGCAGGGGGAAUUUCCGGUGGAGCGGUGAAAUGCGUAGAGAUCGGAAAGAACACCAACGGCGAAAGCACUCUGCUGGGACGACACUGACACUGAGAGACGAAAGCGUGGGGAGCGAACAGG
rnacentral:rRNA from 1 species